rnacentral:tRNA from 1 species
AGGAUAAUAGUUAACUAUAACAUUUGAUUUGCAUUCAAAAAGUGUUGAAUCUUCAACUUAUCUUA